AUUAAACUUCAGGAGACGGAAUCUGAAUUCAUCCUUAAGAAAAAAGAACUUGACACAUAUCACAACAAAGUUCUUAUGAACAAGAUCUUGGCUGAGGCAUUCAAAUCUAAAUGCAUGGAUGCUAAACCAUCUAGUGCAGCUAGUAAGCAGCAAGAGGUGGCCUCAACUUUCAUGCAGCAGCUGAUCCAGCCAUCAUCACAGCCAACUGCACAGUGGAGUGCCAUUGUCACUGGUCUGUCUUCAGCUUUUCCACCUGCAGGUAGCCCNNNNNNNNNCACGUGGUGCAGCUCCAUCUCUGCAGGGUGUCCAUCAUUCAUCAGAACUUUUCUUAGGUGC
rnacentral:misc_RNA from 1 species